rnacentral:rRNA from 1 species
GUAAGGAAUAUUGCGCAAUGGGCGAAAGCUAGACGCAGCAACGCCGCGUGGGCGAUGAAGGCCUUCGGGUUGUAAAGCCCUUUUCUGGGGGAAGAGCAAGGACGGUACCCCAGGAAUAAGCGUCGGCUAACUACGUGCCAGCAGCCGCGGUAAAACGUAGGACGCAAGCGUUAUCCGGAUUCACUGGGCGUAAAGUGCGUUGAGGCGGUUCUGUAAGUUGGACGUGAAAGCCCCGAGCUCAACUCGGGGAGGCCGUUCAAUACUGCGGGACUUGAGGGCAGCAGAGGGAGGCGGAAUUCCCGGUGUAGUGGUGAAAUGCGUAGAUAUCGGGAGGAACACCAGUGGCGAAAGCGGCCUCCUGGGCUGUCCCUGACGCUGAAGGCGAAAGCCAGGGGAGCGAACGGGAUUAGAAACCCCAGUAGUCC